rnacentral:rRNA from 1 species
CGCCAGCCUGACGGAGCCAGACCGCGUGGGGGAGGAAGGCCCUUGGGUUGUAAACCCCUUUUCUCAGGGAAGAAACCUGACGGUACCUGAGGAAAAAGCCUCGGCUAACUCCGUGCCAGCAGCCGCGGUAAUACGGAGGAGGCAAGCGUUAUCCGGAAUUACUGGGCGUAAAGCGUUCGUAGGGGGCUCGUCAAGUCUGCUGUCAAAGCUCGGAGCUCAACUCCGACCCGGCAGUGGAAACUGGGGAGCUAGAGGGCGGCAGGGGCAGAAGGAAUUCCCGGUGUAGCGGUGAAAUGCGUAGAUAUCGGGAAGAACACCAGAGGCGAAAGCGUUCUGCUGGGCCGCGCCUGACCCUGAGGGACGAAAGCCAGGGGAGCG